UGGAUUUCAUAAGAAAGAGCUCGACAAAACGUACAUGUAUGAGUGAUUUCCGUGAUGCCCCCUGGCAGCUGUAGAUGUCGUUAUUGCAGCGCUCUACCCGGGCUCCCACCCCCUCGAUGGCCAUUUCGCUUUAUUGCUUUCGGUAUAUUGAUGCUUCAUAUGGCUGCUGCCGGCCCUUGCGAGCUCAUUUUAUUGGAAUAUAUUUUUAUGGACCGUUGACUUCGGAUUCUCCUUGUGGCUGCUGCUCUGUUCUGCUGGGAAUUGCUGUUUUUCUGUGAAUUGAAUCUGGUUGACGCCCUGAAGAGGUUUGUACACGCAAUAGUACGAUUGAUGUAAUAACAAUGUAACACUGUCCACUGUCCUUCAAGUCG